rnacentral:sRNA from 1 species
GUAGAUUGGGAAACUCAUCAAUUACUUCAAAAUUCCGAGAACCGCUUUUUUCAUCCAAUGGCGGGCCCUGACCGAAAGGUGGCUAAUAACCCGAGGGAUUACAAAGGAUGGAAGGCACUCAAAUCCUGCUUUUCGGAGUUUCAUCGCAUCCUUCGGUGUGGCUCU